UAGGGAAUAUUGGACAAUGGGGGCAACCCUGAUCCAGCCAUGCCGCGUGAGGGAAGACGGUUCUCCGAAUUGUAAACCUCUUUUAGCAGGGAAUAAACCGGUGGUAUAGUCACCGUUGAAGGUACCUGCAGAAUAAGCACCGGCUAACUCCGUGCCAGCAGCCGCGGUAAUACGGAGGGUGCAAGCGUUGUCCGGAUUUAUUGGGUUUAAAGGGUGCGCAGGCGGUAUUAUAAGUCAGUGGUGAAAUACUUCGGCUCAACCGGAGAGGUGCCAUUCAUACUGUAGUACUUGAGUAUAUCUGAGGUAUUUGGAAUGCGUAGUGUAGCGGUGAAAUGCAUAGAUAUUACGCAGAACACCAAUUGCGAAGGCAGAGUACUGAGAUAUAACUGACGCUGAGGCACGAAAGCGUGGGGAGCGAACAGGAUUAGAUACCCCCGUAGUCC
rnacentral:rRNA from 1 species